GGGGACACCUGGCCCCAAGUAUUGCUGGAGCUGGGCCCCUGGCUCUGAAUAUUGCUGGUGCCCGAGCACCACGUGGAUAUGGAACUCGCUGCCUAUGAAAACAGGGAAAUUCAGUGGUUGAAACUCUGGGCCAAGUUCUCAGCAUGUGUAAACAGACAACUUUCCACUGAAACCAAAGGGGCUGUACCUAUUUGCGUUAAACAAGAAAUUGGCCUCCUGGUAUCUCUCAUCCCAUCGGUGCUUAGGAAAACUUGAUACCUCGGUGUUACAUUACAUUCCUACAUCUAUCUAGAAAUCUCAGUGAAAUCGAGGUUACCAACAUUGACCAAAAAAAAAAAAAAAAAAAGUAUGGUUUGAUUUAUUCAAGAUGGGACAGGAAAAGAUAUUGAAGGUGCAAGAGACCAUAAAAGAACAUUUGUUGUAACUGCUCUCCUUAUUGAGUUCUGGAUUGUCACUGAACGGUGACUACAGUACCAUUACACUGGGAAAUGGGUGGCACCUUCCUCCGCCCCAGCCUAUGACACUUCUCUGGCACCAAAGUGAACAAAUACAAUGAUGUUUCUGAUCUACCCAACGGCAUUAGGGGAGUGUUAUGAGCAGAAGCAUCAUGGGCAGCAAGGAAAGGGGGCCAUGAAAGACAGCACUUAAAGGGAGUAAAUCACCUCAUAGCACUAUGCUGGGGCACUACCUGACUGAAGGGGAAGAGCACCUAGCAGCUGUUGUGUACACAGCACUCUUACGACAGAGCAAUGAAGUUGCGGGGUAUCUGGUGAGGAUCUCCUCUAUGUAAAGACUGGAUCCAGUCCUGCUUAGAUUAUGAGAUCUGAUGACAUAUCCUGAGGUGAAGUAGUAUGGUGGCAGGACAUGCCCAGAAGUCUGGAUAACCGUGUAUCUGAACCAGCAAUAGAUUUACAAU